AUCCUUUUGUAGUUCAUGAGCGUGAUGAUUUGUUUUUCAUGCCUAUGCGUGAGAUAUGCCUCCCACAGAGUUUGCGCGAGGCCAUGGUUGACUACUGACG